UGGCUCAGGGUAGAGCGCUUGCCUUGCAUGCAUGAGGUCUUGGGUUCGAUUCCUCA
rnacentral:tRNA from 1 species